rnacentral:rRNA from 1 species
AACGAACGCUGGCGGCGUGCCUAACACAUGCAAGUCGAGGGAGAAAGCCCGCAAGGGUGAGUAAACCGGCGAACGGGUGCGUAACACGUGGAUAAUCUACCUCGGUGACCGGAAUAACUGGCCGAAAGGCUUGCUAAUACCGGAUAAGCCCACGACGUCUUCGGACGACGAGGGAAAAGGUGGCCUCUGCAUGCAAGCUAUCACACCGGGAUGAGUCCGCGGCCCAUCAGCUAGUUGGCGGGGAAUGGCCCACCAAGGCUACGACGGGUAGCUGGUCUGAGAGGAUGAUCAGCCACACUGGAACUGAGACACGGUCCAGACUCCUACGGGAGGCAGCAGUGGGGAAUCUUGCGCAAUGGGCGAAAGCCUGAUGGUGCGACGCCGCGUGAGGGAUGAAGGCCUCGGUUGUAA